rnacentral:rRNA from 1 species
AUUGAACGCUGGCGGCAUGCUUUACACAUGCAAGUCGAACGGUAACAGGCCGCAAGGUGCUGACGAGUGGCGAACGGGUGAGUAAUGCAACGGAACGUGCCCAGUCGUGGGGGAUAACGUAGCGAAAGCUACGCUAAUACCGCAUACGAUCUGUGGAUGAAAGCGGGGGACCGUAAGGCCUCGCGCGAUUGGAGCGGCCGAUGUCAGAUUAGGUAGUUGGUGAGGUAAAGGCGCACCAAGCCGACGAUCUGUAGCUGGUCUGAGAGGACGACCAGCCACACUGGGACUGAGACACGGCCCAGACUCCUACGGAAGGCAGCAGUGGGGAAUUUUGGACAAUGGGCGCAAGCCUGAUCCAGCAAUGCCGCGUGCAGGAUGAAGGCCUUCGGGUUGUAAACUGCUUUUGUACGGAGCGAAAAGGCUUCCACUAAUACUGGGGGCUCAUGACGGUACCGUAAGAAUAAGCACCGGCUAACUACGUGCCAGCCGCCGCCGUAAGAC